rnacentral:sRNA from 1 species
CGUUGUCUCUGACAACACCCCAUGCUGCCAUGACCUGUGAGGUAGCGCUGUAAAGUGGUCAAACCCAGUUGCCUAGACCUGAAAUGCAACGCUUUUAGAGCGGUAACCCCCCUGAGCCUUUGAAAGCGGGGAUCGCAGUUCACUGUGAUGAAGGUAUAC